GACGAACGCUGGCGGCGUGCCUAAUACAUGCAAGUAGAACGCACAGUUUAUACCGUAGCUUGCUACACCAUAGACUGUGAGUUGCGAACGGGUGAGUAACGCGUAGGUAACCUGCCUGGUAGCGGGGGAUAACUAUUGGAAACGAUAGCUAAUACCGCAUAAUAUUAAUUAUUGCAUGAUAAUUAAUUGAAAGGUGCAAUUGCACCACUACCAGAUGGACCUGCGUUGUAUUAGCUAGUAGGUGAGGUAACGGCUCACCUAGGCGACGAUACAUAGCCGACCUGAGAGGGUGAUCGGCCACACUGGGACUGAGACACGGCCCAGACUCCUACGGGAGGCAGCAGUAGGGAAUCUUCGGCAGUGGACGAAAGUCUGACCGAGCAACGCCGCGUGAGUGAAGGAGGUUUUCGGAUCGUAAAGCUCUGUUGUAAGAGAAGAACGGGUGUGAGAGUGGAAAGUUCACACUGUGACG
rnacentral:rRNA from 1 species